rnacentral:rRNA from 1 species
AUGCUCCACCUCCGGCAGCGCGUCCUCUCUCAUCUCAUCUCCGCCGCGCCCUCUCCUUCCACCACCCCACUCCUCUCUCUCCACCGCCUCCUCUCCGCCGCCGCUGCCCCCCGCAUUUCGCAAAACCCUAGCUUCGCCGUCGACGACUACCUCGUCGAGACCUGCGGCCUCACCCGUGCCCAGGCACUCAAGGCCUCCGCCAAGCUGUCCCACCUCAAGUCCCCCGCCAACCCCGACGCCGUCCUCGCCUUCCUCGCCGGCCUCGGCCUCUCCGGCGCCGAUGUGGCGGCCCUCGUCGCCAGGGACCCGCGGUUCCUCUGCGCCGGCGUGGAGAUAACCCUGGCCCCCGUGGUCGCUGGGCUCACCGGCCUCGGCCUGUCAAAUGCCGAGACUGCGCGCCUCAUCUCGCUUGCCCCCGACAAAUUCCGCCAGAGAUCCGUCGUCUCCAAGCUGGAGUACUACCUGCCGCUCUUGGGCUCCAUCGACAACUUGCUCCGGCCGCUCAAACACGGCUCCGGCUUCCUCGCCUCCGACCUCGACAGGGAUGUCAAGCCCAAUGUGAAGCUCCUAGCAGAGUGCGGGCUAGGUGCUUGUGAUAUUGCCAAGCUGUUCAUCCAAAUACCGAUGGUCAUCACCUCCAGCCCAGAGCGCGUCCUCGGGAUGGUCGCGUCCGCCGAACGUAUAGGUGUGCCCCGUGGCUCUGGGAUGUUUAGGCAGGCGCUGCAUUCUGUCGCAUAUCUCUGCGAGGAGAAGAUUGCCGCCAAAGUAGAACAGUUGAAGAAGACAUUAAGGUGGUCAGAUGCCGAGGUCCGCAUUGCUGUGCCCAAGUUGCCGGUUUUGCUGAGGAGGUCAAAUGACGUGCUGCAGCGUAUGUCGGAGUUCCUGAUCUGCGAGGUGGGGUUGGAACCGACGUACAUUGCUCAUCGCCCUGCUAUGCUCACUCAUAGCCUGGAGGGCCGGCUCAGGCCCCGGUACCAUGUUAUGAGGUUUCUUAAGGAAAAUGGAUUGCUAAAUCAUGGCAGAGACUACUAUAAUAUGGUGGUGGCCAGCGAGAAGGUAUUUGUGGAGAAGUUCAUAUGCCCUCACGAGCAAGCUGCACCACACAUUGCUGAAGACUAUGCAGCCACUUGCAUAGGGGAGGUGCCUGCUAGAUUCAGAUUUACAUGA